AGCCAGGAUGCUGUAGUGGUUAGAGUGUCAGACUAGGACCUGGAAGACUGGGGUUCAAAUCCCCAGUUGGCCA